AAGCCCCGCCACUGUCCAGUAUCUCCCGGCAACAGAGAAGCAAGUCACACAUCACUCGAACAGCCUCAGAUUUUGGAGGAGGAGCUUCUUCUCGCAGUAUUUCUGAUCCAGACCAGGACCUGGACCGAGAGCCGGACUCGGACUCGACCAAACACUCAACCCCCUCCAACAGUUCUAACCCCAGCAGCCCCCCCAGUCCAAACUCCCCCAUCGCAGUCAACUCACCCUCGACG